CAGCGCACUCGCUUUUUCACUAAACAAUGAUUUCAAAUCUUAGAGAUUGUAAGAGUUUUAUUUAAAAACACCUCACCUAGGCAAAAAAUGAUGGGGGUUUAGUUACAUUAUAUGAUCAUACAUUGCAUAAGCCUGCCAACGACGUCAAAGUACCCCAUAUUCGGCAGGUCCUAUCCUAGUAACAGCCUAAUGCUUGCUCUUAUGAGAUUAAUCCACUUACUUGGGAAAUACUUCCUUACUAGGACUCUCUGCAAGUCAAGGAUAAAUAGGGCCCUGGAAUGAGGCACCUGUAACAGGGAGGAGUGCAAAACCAAGGAGCUGGCCUGGGACUCCCAAAUAUAUAAAAGAAACCAAGAGGGCUGCACUCACCUGAACAUGCAUACAUUAUAGGGUGCUGCUGGGGCCAAAAUAUACAAAAUACAGAAUCCAGCGCACUCGCUUUUUCACUAAAC